UUUUCGCUGGCAACGGCCCGACCAUUAUUGGAAAUCAAAUCAAUUUUUGAUCAUUGGGGUUUCGACGAUUCAAAAGCUCUCUCUUACAUAUGCAAAUUGCAAGCCAUUUCUUCAUAAUCGAUCCCAAAUUAAGAUAUUAUUGACAUCCUCAGCUACCCACCAUCAAUUGAAGGGUAAAGUUCGCUUUCGAGAAGUUUUAGAUGCCCAGCACUUGCCCCUGUUUGUGAUUCUUCUAGGAUUCUCUUUCACCAAUGUUGAGUCGCAGGAGUAAUAGCUCUAGCUCAUCUGAUUUAGAGGAACUUCUAGAGAUUGAGUCAAGAUGUCGACAGCUCAAGAAAGAAAAGGAGACACUAAUAGGUUCACGGCCACAAAGCUUUGAACUGAUAAGGCGGCUGGAACUACAUGCGAACUCUUUAUCAGAAGCACGCCAGGAAGACAAGCUACGCAUUGAAAAAUUGGAGAAGGAGUUGACAAACUGCACUCAGGAAAUAGAUCACCUGCAGGAUCAACUAUGUACAAGGAACGCAGAAUUAAACUACCUUGUAGAUCACGUUGAGAACCUUGAAUUCAAAUUAGUUCAUAUGGAGCGUUUGCAAGAAAAGGCUGUCAAGUUAGAGGAAGAGGUGAAGCGUUCGAACUCAGAGUGCCUCUUCUUGAAGCAGAAACUAGUUUACAAGGAAAAGGAGCUACAAGAAUCACAUUCCAAUAUGGAAAAACUUGAGGAGUCGAUUUCAUCUAUGACAUUGGAGUCUCAAUGUGAAAUUGAGAGUAUGAAAUUGGAUAUGGCGGCCAUGGAGCAAUGUUACUUGGAAAAUAAGAAAGUCCAGGAAGAAGCUCUUCAUCUAAAUGAUAAAAUUGAUCGAUUAAUUGGGGAGCUUCAGAAUGCAAAGAAAAAUACUGAGUCUCUGGAGAAGGAAAAUAAGGAACUUCAAAGAGAGCUGGAUAUAUCGACAAGAAAUGCCUCCACAUUUUGUCGAAGGAUUGAGGAAUUGAUUGAAAACAAGGAGAGAUCACGAAAUACUCUGUGUUUCUCGAACGACGGAGAUAGCGAGUUAGCAACAUUACUUGAUAUUAGUUGUGGCGAAGACUCAGGCCAUCAUCUUCCGAAGUUAGCAGGUGCACCAUUUGCAGAUGAAAAUUCAGAAGUCAAAAUGGAUGUGAUGGCAAAGCAGAUACAAGAUUAUGAACUUCUUGUAAAGCAACUCAAGGAGGAGCUAAGAGAGGAGAAGUUGAAAGCAAAAGAAGAAGCAGAGGACCUUGCUCAAGAAAUGGCUGAGCUAAGGUACCAAAUUACUGGUUUGCUUGAAGAAGAGUGCAAGCGCCGGGCUUGCAUUGAACAGGCAUCUUUACAGAGAAUUGCCCAGUUAGAGGCACAGGUUUUAAAAGAACAAAGUAGGUCAUUUUCUAUUGCUAGGCGUAUGUACGAAAUAUAGUAGUUGGGAGUAUGAAUCAAAAGCUGCUCGUGGAAGAGUGUCGAUCAAAGCUUACUUUCUGAGAACCUUUGGUACUGAACUGGUGAAUUUGACUGCAAAACCAGUGGCUCCUAUGUUUUCAUCUUGGUUUUCCCAGAUAAUGUCGUAUCCAAAAUGAAAAACUUUGCAACCCCAACUUUUUACCAACAACUCAGCCAAUUCAGCUUCUUACAGAGAAAACACGCAUGCUUGUGUAGAAGACGAUACAGAAAGAUAGUAGGUUCCAUGAAUAGAGUUGACUAUAGGUUGUUCAACAAGCUGCAAUCAGAAAUACUUAGUAGAUGUGCUUUGCACAGUUACUUCCUAGCAGCUCUGGUUUUGAAGCUGCCCUUUCUCAAGAGUAAUAUGAUUUUGAACUUUGUGUGUAUUACAGAGUGUUGGUUUGGUUUGUCAGAAUCUGGUCACUGUUGUAAAUAUUAUGCAUUUGUAAUGUGGGAAGUUUUGUUUGCAACCAUUCCAUGUUUUACUUC